UUGUGUCAUUUCCCCACAAAUUUGUUUCCUCUGUUUCCAUUCUUUCUUCUUCAUUUUGGUGUCUUCUUCAAUUCCACUUUUUUCUUUUGUUUUCGGUUGAGUUUUAGAGCUACUGAGGGCUUCCAUCUUCAUUCUAUUUUUUGCGAUUUUGGUUUGGGUUCUUUUUCUUUGAAUGGUCUGAUUUUUUGUGGUUUUAUUUUUGGAACAAGUUACAGUAACAACGGCAGCUUUGGCAAAGAAUUUGUGGGAGAAGUUAAGAAGAAGAUAGAGGCUCUUCAAACUAUUGGAGAUUCUCUGUAACUUCAAUCCAAGCAAGUUGACGCUGUCCAAUAGAUCAAAGAUUUCUAUAAGAUCUCCAGAAUCAAGUGACAAGGAGAUUCAUGCAUGCGAAACAAAUCCAAAAAGAAACACAAACAAGAUACAUAGAGAGUGUGAGUGGAAAUGAAGAGGGCAAGAGAGUUGCUUGACAAUAUAUAUGAUUUGAUAUUAUUUUGUUGUUUGUGAAGGCUUUAUUU